rnacentral:rRNA from 1 species
AGAGUUGAUCAUGGCUCAGGAUUAACGACUGGCGGCAUGCCUAAUACAUAGCAAGUCGAAUGGUUAGCUUGCUAGAUCAUGGCGAACGGGUGAGUAACACGUAGGUAACCUACCUUAAGGACGAGGAUAACCUUUGGAAACGAAGGAUAAUACUGGAUAGGACAUCACAAAUCACAUGAUUAGAUGUUUAAAGGAGCAAUCCACCAUAAGAGGGGCCUGCGGCGCAUUAGCUAGUUGGUGAGGUAAGGGCCCACCAAGGCGAUGAUGCGUAGCUGGACUGAGAGGUUGAACAGCCACAAUGGGACUGAGAACGGCCCAUACUCCUACGGGAGGCAGCAGUAGGGAAUUUUCGGCAAUGGGCGGAAGCCUGAACCCGAGCAAUGCCGCGUGAUCGAAGAAGUAUUUCGGUAUGUAAAGAUCUUUUAUUUGGGAAGAAAAAACAAAUUGACUGAACCAAAUGAAUAAGCUCCGGCUAACUACGUGCCAGCCGCCGC